GAUGAACGCUGGCGGCGUGCCUAAUACAUGCAAGUCGAGCGAACAGACGAGGAGCUUGCUCCUCUGACGUUAGCGGCGGACGGGUGAGUAACACGUGGAUAACCUACCUAUAAGACUGGGAUAACUUCGGGAAACCGGAUCUAAUACCGGAUAAUAUAUUGAACCGCAUGGUUCAAUGGUGAAAGACGGUUGUGCUGUCACUUAUAGAUGGAUCCGCGCCGCAUUAGCUAGUUGGUAAGGUAACGGCUUACCAAGGCAACGAUGCGUAGCCGACCUGAGAGGGUGAUCGGACACACUGGAACUGAGACACGGUCCAGACUCCUACGGGAGGCAGCAGUAGGGAAUCUUCCGCAAUGGGCGAAAGCCUGACGGAGCAACGCCGCGUGAGUGAUGAAGGUCUUCGGAUCGUAAAACUCUGUUAUUAGGGAAGAACAAAUGUGUAAGUAACUAUGCACGUCUUGACGGUACCUAAUCAGAAAGCCACGGCUAACUACGUG
rnacentral:rRNA from 1 species